GACUAACGGCUGGCGGCGUGCCUAACACAUGCAAGUCGAACGAGUUGUUUAUAGUAGCAAUAUUGUGAACAGCAAGUGGCGAACGGGUGAGUAACACGUAGAUAAUCUGCCUUUCAGACGGGGACAACUCAGGGAAACUUGUGCUAAUACCCGAUGAGACUACGGGAGGGGACUUUCGUAGCCAAAGGUGGGGGCAACCUCACGCUGAAAGAUGAGUCUGCGUCCUAUCAGCUAGUUGGUGGGGUAAAAGCCUACCAAGGCGAAGACGGGUAGCCGGCCUGAGAGGGUGAACGGCCACACUGGGACUGAGACACGGCCCAGACUCCUACGGGAGGCAGCAGUGAGGAAUUUUCCGCAAUGGGCGCAAGCCUGACGGAGCGACGCCGCGUGAGGGAUGACGGCCUUCGGGUUGUAAACCUCUUUUAUUAGGGAAAAAGGCAAUCGUGCUAAUACCACGGUUGUUUGAUGUUACCUGUUGAAUAAGCCCCGGCUAACUACGUG
rnacentral:rRNA from 1 species